GGGCAGUGGGUUCCCCUCCGGGUUUAGACACUCCCCUUAGACAGGAUUUUUCUUUUCCCUGGAUGACUCAACAGACAGGCCCUGCUCCUCUUCCCCACCUGCCGUCUUAGUCCCACAUCUGGGCUCUGUUGGCUGGUUAACCAUCGAUCUUGCCUGGUAAAUAAUUCAGGGCCUCUGUUUCCUCAUCUGUGAAAUGAAAAGCCUAAGAGAACGCUAAGAUUCUUUUGGCCUAGAAUCCUGUGAGUCUCUCUUAUGACAGACAGUGACAUUUUCCACCCCAGUAGGGACCUGGAUUGCUACUGCCAUGGCCAGCUGGGUGCUCUCCAAGUCAGGGGUGCUGUGCGAGGAGGGCGUGGCUUCUGCUCCUCUGUGUCCCAGCCACUCCUCCUGUACUCAGGCCCCAGCUCCUCUGUUCUGCCCAGUGGCCUGGCGCAGGAAAGGUGACCCAGUAGUUCAGCCUGUCCCAGCUGCCUGCCCCAGCACCAUCCCAGACCCCUUUCCCUGGGGCCCACCUUGGCCCUGAGGAAGGCCAGAGCUCGGCUGCUGUUCUCCAGGAAGUGCACACGCAGGCGGCCCCGGCUCGGGGGUGGCAGGGCCUCCCCUGAGAUGAGCUCCAGCAGCCGCAGGAGGUGGAUGCCGUCAGCCAGCUCUGUGUACAGGUUCCGGAUCUUGAUGCCCGCCUGGGGAGGGGACAGGGAUUCUUCUUCUCAGAGCCCCUGCUGCCAGGUCCCUCCACCACAGUGACUGGGACAGGUGGAAGGAAGACAGGAAACUGCUUACCUUGGUGAUGCCUGGGUCCCACAGAGACGGCUCUGCUGGACGGAUGGAGAUGGUAGAUAGCAGGGGCUGCUUACCUUGGUGAUGCCUGGGUUCCACAGAGGCGGCCCAGCUGGACGGAUGGAGAUGGCAGAUAGCAGGGGCUGUGGAGGGAGGGAGAGGGACAUCAGGAGAGGCCAAGGCUGGAGCAGGGCUGCACCACAGCCCUCCCCUUGAGCCAGCGUGCUGGGGUGACGGCACACAGGCGGCAUUGUCCUCCCACCUGCCACAGGGCGUGGCCCAGACAGGGAGGGGGUGGUUCAGGAAUGCUCCAGGGCCAUUGCCAGAUGAUGUCCUCCUUCAUCAUCCUCCCUUCCCCGCCAGCAACUUCUCCAACUCCAGGUGGGGGUCCUGGCUCCCAGGACGCAGAGGCCCAUGGAGCGGCCCUGCCACCGCAUGGGGUGCUGCAGUCUGCGUAGGAGGUACCAAAGGGCAGAGCCUCUGUGGGAAGCCUGUGGACGCACUUCCCAAUCUGAGACUGCCCUCUGUACCCUCUUGGGGCCUCUCUGUGAGCACCCAGGGCGAGGGGAUGAGGGAGCGUCCUGGGCCGUGGUCUUCUCAUUCACCCCCAGGGAACAGCCCAUAGACUGAGGGCCUCACAGACCCUGGGCUUGGCUUUCCAGGCCCUGCCAGAGUGCAGCCUGCCUAGCCCGGGGCUGAAGGGUAGGCUCCCUGGAGGAAGGGGUGACCUGGAACUGCGAGGGCUGUGGAGUCUCCUCCAAAAUUAGAGACACGGUGUUAACUCUGGGCUCCACAGAGCUGGCCGUGGCCCGGGGCUCGGAGGCAGGGGUGCAGAGGGAGCUGGUGGGCGCCCAUCCCUUCCUCCCCGAGCAGCCGUGGACUACAUGCCAGAGUGAAGGCGAGUUCUAAUUCUGGGGGUCUCACCCGCCUCUGGCUAAACUCAGGGUAGCAGUGUGGGCUGGGGUGUGUGUGUGUGGGUGUCUUCCAGCGGCCCUGGAGCCUCUGAAGCGACAGCCCGCUCCUCAGGGAGGCGCUCCUGGCAGCCACAGCCCACAGCAGGACAGCCGCUCAGCGCGCCCUUGAGAGCUGGGCUAGGGAUGAGUCACACUUGAACCGCCUGGGCCCACUGCAGGCAGUCAGGGGUGACGCUGAGAGGUGCCGUGGUCUCGGGUGGGGUGCGGCUUCCUGCGUCUGAGAGACGCUUCCUCUCCUGCUGUCCUCUCCCUGCCAGGCCCCUUCUGCAGCGGCUGGCUUCCAGACACCCUGCGUCCCUCCCUUGCUCGCAGCAGUUGCUGUGGCGGUCCUCCCGUGCACCCCCCCUUCUGCCCUCACUGCCCCUGGGGGUCCUCAUCACGGACCCCCUAACUCGGCAUCCUGGACACCACCACCCCGCACCUUUCCACAGUGCAGCUCUGCUCGUGCCUGUGAAGCCUCCCACAGCCUGGGAAGGAAAAUCCAGACUUGCCAGACCUUGCCUCAGCCAGGCCUUGGAAGCCUGCCAGCUUACCUAACCAGGCUAGUCUGCCCCCCUCACUCUGGGUGCUCUCCAUGGGCCACUCACCAUUUCCUGAGCAGGACCAGAGCUCUCCUGCCCCAAGGCUGGGCUUCAGCUGCUCUUUCAGCUUUGAACGUCCUUUCCCAUUCUCCAUCAUCCACAUUCACCUAUCCUGCCUGCCCCAGUUAAAAUCCUGUUUCUUCUAGGAAGUCCCUCAUCCCACCCGCUUACCCCAGGGAGACUGAGCUUGUUCCUUCUCCUAGUAAGACCCUCAGCCCAUGGAGUCCUGUGUGAUGUUGUGAGCGUGGGAGGACAGACUGAACUGCUCGGCCCGUGGAGUCCUGUGUGAUGUUGUGAGCGGGGAGGACAGACUGAACUGCGUGGUGCUUCGCACAUAGACCUCAACAGGGAUUGGCAUUUUGAAGCUGUUGGCGGGGGCUGUGGACUGCUUUUCUUCCUUUCUAGCUCAACGGCAGCUAAAGCCACUGCAUACAAUGCAAGGACUGGCUCCUGUUUGGCCACGACUGAUUGCAGCCCCUGGUGAAAUGAGAACCCUGUGGGUCGGAACAAAGUUUGGAUUAUUUAUGUUGCAAGUAACUAAAAUCUCAAGUGAAACUGGUUUAAACAUUAUAUUUUUAUUAUUUAUUUAUUUAUAUUUAAUUCUUUUUUAGAGACAGGGUCUUCUUAGGUUGCCCAGGCUGGUCUUGAACUCCUGGCCUCAACGAUCUUCCCACUUCAGCCUCCUGCAUUGCUGGGAUUAUAGGUGUGAGCCACCAUGCCUGGCUUACACAGUAUAAAGGGAAUGCAUUGGCCCACACAGUGGAAAAAAAUAUCUAGUAGGAAUAGGAAGGACUUCAGGUGAGGUUUGAUCCAGCAGCUCAAAUGUUGUCACCACAGGCCUGGAUUCCUCUGGCCUUUCUCAAGGUCUCUUUCAUUUUCAUGCUCCACAAGAUGGCUUCUGCCAGGCUGACCUCCCUCCCCUGACCCCAGCAGCUCUGGACACCCCUCUCAGUGCCAUUUAUAUUGUUGCAUCAAUAGGCUCAUUUCUAUAUACUGCAAGGUUCAGAGAAGACAGAGUAUCUCUCUCAAGAGUUCUAACAUAAGUCUGGGGGUCCUGGCUCUCAUAGGCUUGAACAGGGCCACAUGUCCAUUCCUGAGCCAAUAUUUGUGACCAAGGGGAUGUGGUCAAUCUCAUCCAAACCUCACUUGAAGUGAGGGUGGGAGGAGGAGUGCUCUGCAAGGAGACUGUAGGUCUGGACCACCAAAAAGGUAGAUGGGUUGGUGGGAAAAGCCAGAUGCCUACUAUGGUAGUGGGCGGGGGGAGGGCACACUGGCAAGGUACAGCAAGAGGCAGGGGCAGUGCUGGACAGGCAGGGGCUCCUCCCUAGCACGACUGGAGAAAGGACUCCUGUGAAGCGGUCACCUCCAUGAGUCCCUCCUGUCCUGGCUUCCAACCACUCUGAAGUGGGGCUUUUGUCCACAGACCUGGCCUCUGCUGCCUACCCUCUUCUGUCCCCACCUGAUGGGGCCGCUUUCCUUCUGAAGCGGCUGCAUUUUGGGUUUCUCUCCACAGGAAGAGUUGGGGCUCACAGGCACACCCUCUCCCUAACUCUUCUCCCCCGGUUCAACCUGGAUCCAGGGAUCCACACUCUGCUCCGAGAGGCCAGCACGCAGCCACUGGAAAAUGAGCCAGUGGGAGAGGGCAGCUCCAUGUUUAUUGAUCAGCAGACUAUGUCUUUUUGUUUGAAACUUCUAAAUAAGAUUACAAAAAGAAAAAAAAUAGAAGCAUUGCGUAUUAACUGCAUUGGUUAACCAACAUUGGAACCCAAUACUCUUGUAUUAGGCCCGCAUUUACCUGAGUAAACUCAGUGGUUUUCUGUCCUAAGCAUGCUUGCCUGCUACAUCCCAUGGAGAAAAUAAACAGUGAAACACUUUCCUCAUCUUCAAGGCAAUUGUCUCAGGCAUCCUCCAGGCAUCAUGAAGGAGGGUGAGCGAGGGUGCGAGGUGGAAAGGUCCAGGCCGCGGCUGUGACUCCCGCGGGUGAACCACAGCUCCACAGCCCCAAAUCCAAAGAUGCUCUUGCUGCAGCACGACAAGUGUUCAAAAGAGAACCAGGCCCAGCCCGGAGAAAGGAAAGCCAAAAGCCAACUGAAUGAAUGACCCUCCCCCAGAAGAGCAACCCUGCCCCCAGGCCAUCCAAGUGCGAACAUUACCAGGUGCCAGCAGGGAAAGGACUCCGCUGCCUGACGCCUCUCCCACCUGAGAGCGCAGAGGUAGGGAGAUCACAGUGCCUGAGAGGUUUUCCUCCACGGAGAAAUCAGAGACCUCAACCUGCUGCCCUCUAAAGCAGCUUUCUGUAUCCAGACAAAACUUACAUAUGUACACGUUGUUUUAAAACGACAUACUCAUGUGACACACAUGUAUAUAAAUUCAUGUUUAUAUAUGACAAUUGAGGAGAGUUAAAGAACAAGAUAAUUCUGGAUGGAAAAAUCAGUUUGCCUGGGCAUCUGUAAACCUUUGGGCAAGUGAAUUCCCUCUUCUCUCUCAGUUCACCCUUUGGUGACCUCCACCGUGGCUGCAGACUUCAGGUGGUCCUCACGCAUUCACAGAACUGUCUGCUUAGGUUACAGCACUUUGGGAGGCCGAGGUGGGUAGAUCACGAGGUCAGGAGAUCGAGACCAUAUUGACCAACAUGGUAAAACCCCAUCUCUACUAAAAUACAAAAAUUAGCCGGGCGUGGUGGCGGGUGCCUGUAGUCCCAGCUACUUGGGAGGCUGAGGCAGGGGAAUCACUUGAACCUGGGAGGCGGAGGUUGCAGUGAACUGAGAUUGCGCCACUGCACUCCAGCCUGGGUGACAGAGAC
rnacentral:lncRNA from 10 species